GACGAACGCUGGCGGCGUGCCUAAUACAUGCAAGUAGAACGCUGAAGGAGGAGCUUGCUCUUCUGGAUGAGUUGCGAACGGGUGAGUAACGCGUAGGUAACCUGCCUGGUAGCGGGGGAUAACUGUUGGAAACGAUAGCUAAUACCGCAUAAGAGUAGAUGUUGCAUGACAUUUACUUAAAAGGUGCAAUUGCAUCACUACCAGAUGGACCUGCGUUGUAUUAGCUAGUUGGUGGGGUAACGGCUUACCAAGGCGACGAUACAUAGCCGACCUGAGAGGGUGAUCGGCCACACUGGGACUGAGACACGGCCCAGACUCCUACGGGAGGCAGCAGUAGGGAAUCUUCGGCAAUGGACGGAAGUCUGACCGAGCAACGCCGCGUGAGUGAAGAAGGUUUUCGGAUCGUAAAGCUCUGUUGUAAGAGAAGAACGAGUGUGAGAGUGGAAAGUUCACACUGUGACGGUAUCUUACCAGAAAGAGACGGCUAACUACGUG
rnacentral:rRNA from 1 species